UUUUUAUAUGCAGGCUGAUGUAUUUUUAGCCCCACGGAUCAAUGUUGCCACUACAAGGUUCAAUAUUGAAAUGUGAUUAUCAAAAGCAGUGGGCCAUCAUUGAAAGAUUACCCUUGUAGUGAGUCCAAUCAAGGCUGACAAGCUAAAGAAGUCACUGGAGGAUGAAAUUCAUUUUCUCAAGGGAAGGGUUUUAGAACUUGAAAGUGAUCUUGUGUCAAAGUCCACAGAAGUAACAUCUGCAGUUUCAGGGAAAGAAGAAGAUCUAUCUUCUGCAUUUGCUAAAAUUGAUCAUCUGAAGGAAGAAAAUUCUGUAAAAACAU